rnacentral:rRNA from 1 species
GACGAACCGUGCGAACGUUAUUCGGAAUCACUGGGCUUAAAGCGCGUGUAGGCGGGAGGGCACGUCCGUCGCUGAAAUCUCCCGGCUCAACCGGGGAACGGGCGCGGAUACGACCUUCCUGGAGGGGCGUAGGGGGACCUGGAACUUCCGGUGGAGCGGUGAAAUGCGUUGAGAUCGGAAGGAACGCCCGUGGCGAAAGCGAGGUCCUGGACGCCUACUGACGCUGAGACGCGAAAGCCAGGGGAGCGAACGGG